GGACAAAUCUGUGAGACGAGCAGAGAGGCAGCCGGUUUUUACCUGCUUCUGGACCAAUUUGCACAUGUCCUGUCAUUCACCAAAUAAAUGGAGGAUAAAAGAA